CCCUUAGAUGUUCUGGGCCGCACGCGCGCUACACUGAUGCAUUCAACGAGCCUAUCCUUGACCGACAGGUCCGGGUAAUCUUUGAAUCUGCAUCGUGACGGGGAUAGAUUAUUGCAAUUAUUAAUCUUCAACGAGGAAUGCCUAGUAGGCGCAAGUCAUCAGCUUGCGUCGAUUACGUCCCUGCCCUUUGUACACACCGCCCGUCGCUCCUACCGAUUGGGUGUGCUGGUGAUAUGUUCGGAUCGGCCGUUUGUCGCGGUUUCCGCGUCAUGUGGCUGAGAAGUUCAUUAAACCCUCCCACCUAGAGGAAGGAGAAGUCGUAACA
rnacentral:rRNA from 1 species